AAACUAGGCUUAAUGUAAAUAAUUUAUUUUUCUUGUCAUUUAUUUUCCGCAGACUUUAGAAUGUAUCAUAGGCUUUUAUGUAAUAGUCGUAGGUGCAUGUGUGCGUGCGUGUGUAUGCCUCUCUUUAUGCUUUAUAAUUUAGGUUAAAGGUCUUUAUGGUGAUCCAACGUCACCAUGAAGUACCUACGUUUUAUUUUUAUGCUCCGUUAGUUUAAUUUUAGUCCAAUAUUCGAAAACCACAAA
rnacentral:lncRNA from 1 species